rnacentral:rRNA from 1 species
CCCGGCGAGGGGAGUGAAAAAGAACCUGAAACCGUGUACGUACAAGCAGUGGGAGCCUCUUUAUGGGGUGACUGCGUACCUUUUGUAUAAUGGGUCAGCGACUUAUAUUCUGUAGCAAGGUUAACCGUAUAGGGGAGCCGAAGGGAAACCGAGUCUUAACUGGGCGUUAAGUUGCAGGGUAUAGACCCGAAACCCGGUGAUCUAGCCAUGGGCAGGUUGAAGGUUGGGUAACACUAACUGGAGGACCGAACCGACUA